UAGGUAAAUAGUCAUAUUUGCGCCGAC
rnacentral:piRNA from 1 species